UUAAUUGCUUAAUCAUUUGGUUAAUUGACAUAAGCAGGAGGGGAUUUGGACACAUGUGCUGGGGAUAGAAAAUGAAUAAGUUGUUAGUUUGUGGGACACUUCUUAGGAAGAAGGGAAGGGCAUGGUAAACAGCUUGCAUAUAGGGAGAUAAAAACAACUCUGAGCUUGCUUCCUCAUCUGUAACAUGGGAGUAAUAACAGUACCCUCUCUGAGGGUCAUUAGGAAGAUUAAAUAAGAUAACAGAUGUGAAGUGCCGGCACAGGGCCUGGCACCCAGGGCCCACUCCUCAAGUGUUUCCUCAUUUCUUCCCCUUCUGGUCCCUUUGCCUUAGGGGUUAGCCUUGGUUGGGGGUGGAGGAAAGGGGGGAACCAGGGUGACGCAUGAACACCCAGAAGGGCUUGAGGCUGUAGAGUAGACAGCAGGGCUCUCCCUGCCCCCUACCCCCCCUUUUUACCCAGAUUCCUUUUCCAUGUUGGUGCGUGGAGAGGUGGGGGCCCGUUUCUGACAACUUUAGAGGCUGGGUUCCCUGGGGCAGGCUCGGGGCUUGAUUCUCUGUCCAGCUUAGCCCCCUGUUGUAGCCCCACUCCAUCUAAUGAUGACAUCUCACACCUGGUCCCCCAGGAAAAGAAACAGCCAAAUAACAAGCUCCCCUCCAAACAGCCAAAAGCCCAAUCCUGUAAUUAAAUCUUGGCUUGGCAGUUACUUAGUCACCUCCAAGAGCCGACUUUCCUGGCCAGUUCUAGAAUGUGGGGUGGGAUGGGGGCCCGGUAGGUGCAGUCUCCCCAGAGACCCAGCCGGGCCUUUGUCAAAGUGGUGGUCUCCCCUCCAACAAAGCCAAAUGCACCUGGCUGGGGGAGUGCACUCUGAGUGCAGGAAGGGCAGGCUGAGAGACACCAAGAGUUAUCCCCACCCCAGGUCUCUGUGGUGAGCUCUGCAAGGGCAAAAGUCAAAACUCCCAUCAUGCCAAUUCCCAUAUCCACUGAGCUGUGGAUCACCUCGUCCCACCACUGCUCCAGGCUGGAGAUGCCUUCUACCAGACCAGCUCCUGACACUGUUCCCUUCAGCCUGCAGGGUGGAGUGGGCUUCAGUCUCCACCCACCCCCUCUCCCAACCCCAGCCUUCCUCUGGGCUGGGCAGGUGCCAGGAAAUGUGGUCAGGCUAAGAGGAAGCCUGGCUAACGUGGACUCCUAAAUCCUGAGAAGGUGGUCAAGGUCAGUACCUGGUGCCUGAGAGUAUGAAGAUCCAAGAUCCAGCCCUGAGUGGGAAGUGGUGUGUUUGAGGGUACUGGGAAGGGACGCAUUUCCCUUGGUAACCGUGGGCUCUGUGGGUGGGACCAUGGCAGGAUGGGAAAGAUCCUUGCUGGGGAAUAGGUUUGAAUCCUGACUCUGUUGUUUAGAAAGGGUGUGACCUUGGCUGAGAUACCGCCUCUCUGAGCCUCAGUUUGUUCAUCUGUAAAACAGGGGCUAUUAAUGUAGGUGGUUAUGAGAUUCAAUGAGAUAGAGAGUUAAAAUACCCAGCAGAGUCUGACUCAUGGUGGGUACUUAGUACCUGCAUGCUCUCACCCCAGUUCCCUGCCUUGACUUUGGGCAUGGACAUGCUGAACAGAACAGACAGAACAGAGGCCUUGAGAGGCUGCACGAGAGCAGUACCCAUUCAACAAAGAACCUCAAGAAGGAAAAUUCCAUGGGGGCCUAGGAGACAGGGCGGGGUAGGUGUUUACAAGGUUAGGUUCAAAAGCCAGGCAAAAAUAUUCCAUUGUAAAACACAUCCUACCAUCUGAAAUCAUGUGUGUAUAUUAAAAAAAGAGAGAUUAUUUAGUACAAAAACAAAAACCCAAAUCUCAUGUAGAUUGUGACUAUAGGUAGAUAAGGUGUAUUUGUGAAUGAACAGCCAGGGGUUCGCAGGGACCAAGACUGUGGAGCUGACUGGGAGUGUGGGGGUAGUUGGGGCAGCGAGCAGGUGGGGAGUGCUAGGAUGACAGGUGGGGCUUUUACUUUUCAGUAAUGUCCUUUGUUGGUAGAUCAUUUGUCUUAACUUAAAAUUCUACAAAUAAUAAAGAACACUAUUUAUCUUUUAAUAUUGGCCACGCAGGUUCUUUGUUACGGUGAGAGAGCUUUCUCUAGUUGUGGCUCACAGGUGCCCUAGUUGGGGUACAUGAGCUUAGUUAGAUGCCCCACGGCAUGUGGGAUCUUAGUUUCCCAACCAGGGAUCGAAUCUGCAUUGGAAGGCAGAUUUUUUUAAACCACUGAACCACCAGAGAAGUCCCAAAGAACAUAGUUUAGCAUGGAAUGUAUUUUUCCUUUUUUUAAAAAAAGAACACUGGAUGGGGGCCAGCAUGGAGAUGUGGGUCUCAGUGCCACUAACCUCCUGUUAUGACCAACCUAGAGAGCAUAUUGAAAAGCAGAGACAUUGCUUUGCUAACAAAGGUCCAUCUAGU
ensembl:lncRNA